UUGUCAACCACUUGCAGCCGUGGACUGCGGCUGCCUCUUCUGUGCUGAUUAGAGAGAGAGAGAGAGAGAGAGAGAGUUCCACGGUGACACCACUCCAGCCAGAUUCCGCUCUCUACCGUCGUCCCGUCCUCUCCUAGAUGGCCCAGCGCCGCCUCGCCGUCCUCUCUUCCCACCUCCUCCAAACCGACCCUGUACUCCCAUCAGCCACGCACCGGCGGGCGGGGCCCGUCGAACCUUUGGAUCUCGCCUCCACUUCAUCCUGCUGCGCUGGCGGAGGCGACGCUGGACGGGAUGAGGAGAAGGGAUGCGUCUUUUGUAGGAUCAUCCGUGAUGAAUCCCCCGCAUUCAAGCUUUAUGAAGAUGAUGUAUGCAUCUGUAUUUUGGACUCUAACCCAUUGAUUUUGGGGCACUCGCUUAUCAUCCCAAAGUCACAUUUUCCUUCACUGGAAGCGACUCCACCUCCUGUUGUAGCAGCCAUGUGUUCCAAGAUACCAUUUCUCAGCAGUUGUAUAAUGAAAGCUACUCAAUGUGAUUCAUUCAAUUUAUUGGUCAACAAUGGAUCAGCGGCAGGGCAAGUAAUAUUUCAUACUCAUCUUCACAUAAUUCCUCGAAAAGCCGGAGACGAACUAUGGCGUUCUGAGAGUUGUAGAAGGCACCCCAUCGAAUCAAACCAGGAAAUCGACCAUCUCGUGAAUUCAAUCAGGCAUCUGGUUUCUUCUUCUUCUUCUUCUUCUUCUUCCCAGCAAUAGCUGCCGAUCUAAUACACGGAUCGUCCCAAAGAAUCUGCAAGAUUAGGGAUCCCAACUUGUGAAAACCCACGGAAGAGCCAUUAAAAAAAUCUGUACAAUCAUAAUAAAAUAAGUAUAAUUGUGACCGAAGAUUAGAUGCAUGGGAGUUCCUCCAGCAUGGGAUGGUGGAUAAAGAAGAGUGUUUCCAAAUAAGCAUUUGAAUAUGGAGUUGAUUUCAUUACCAUCACAGUGCGUCCAACACACUCCCUUCCCAUCCUCCACCUGAUCUCAAUGAAGGCUGCUCAGAGUCUGCAAGCGGUCGACGGCGUCGAGCUCGCGAGCAGGCGCUUCUUCUUACGGCGGCGGCGGCGGCGGCGGCGGCAGCGGGGUGCAGGCACUUGCAGUCGACGCAGACUCAGGCCACCAUGUUCUCCCUCCCUCAAACUGUGCUACUCCUUUGAGCUCCUCAGGGCAUCACCAUGGAGUUGUAUGUAGGUCAACGCUGCAAGUCCUGGUUCGAUGACCAGGCGUUCGUGCUCUCGCUUAAGAUCCAUGGAGGCGGGCCAAGUGGAAGCUCCGUAACGCCGCCCACCUUCUCCCCUUCCCUUCCUCUCCAUGGACUCUCUUCCUUGACCUGUGUGUACACGGCCGGAGCUUCUCCGACGCUCCUUACACUGAUUUGGCCUCGUCCAACCCCCACCAAAAGGUUGGGAGUGCAGCGACGCCUUUAAAUGCCUCCACGAACGAUACCAGUGGGGUUGGGAUCGUCUCCGAGUGCUGCACAGUCAUCGGGCUGCGCCUCUAGAAAUCCCAAGCCCAGGUACGCGGCAAUGGAUGGUCUUGAUGUGGGGAUCGGACGAGCGGAUCCUAACCGCACAUCAUCCUUGCCGUAGACCUCUAAGAAAAAUAUACACGACGACUACAUAAGAAGUGCAAACUUAAUAUUCGCUAUAAGAGUAUACAAAAGUUCUGAGCAAACAGUGUUUGAAAAAAAAAAAGUCUAAACAAAUAAUAAAGGAUUAAAUUAUACGAAAAUAUUUAAGAGGAAAUAUAUCUAAAGAACAUAUAAUAAUACAUUCUUUCAAGAAAAAUAUUGGGGUGUCUAAGUUUCACUAUUUAUCAUUAGGGAGCGUGGAUGACACCGUCAUCCUCGUACGGCUACACCAUCGACUCCCAUGAACUCAUUCGAGUGGGUGAGCAUUCAUGAGCAGUUGGUUCCCACAAGACAACACAGCCUGUGGUGUGAUGUGACUUCUACAGCUCACCAGCAGCAACCACUACAAUAAAUUAAGGUCAUGAAGGCUUGAGGUCAUUUUAAUGUUUGAGGUCAUAACCACCGUGAGUUUAAUGUUGCAGUACAUAUCUGUGAGUCAAGGUGAUCGAUAUUUGACUCGAUGACUUGGGCACAGAGAUAGAUCUUGACAUUGUUAUGUAACAAUGUCUUGCCACCCACGGACAAAUCAUGAAACUUUAGAUCAAUGUGUUUUGCUCUGUGUUUUCUGGAUUGAUAUUUGACACAUUAUAUAUCUUUCUAAAUGUUAGGCAUUUAAGAUCACAGUUACGUUUGCAUGUUUGCUAUCACCUACCUACGGAAGAUGAGCCUCGGGACUUGGCAUUGAAGCUUUUCUGUAGAGCCUACGAGGUUUGAUUGCAACAAAGGGGAUCUCAGGUUCAAUGGAAUUGAAUUUGAUCGGGUGUGGCAUUGGGCGAUUAUGAGAGCCUUCCUGCAGCAAACGCUCAGGCAUUUCCAGAUGCUAAUGCUAUCCUUUCUUCCUCGAACAGAUAAGAAGAGACAGGACUUCUGCUCAUGCCAAAUAGCAUCGACAUCUUCGCUUCGUCAAAUCACUGAUACAAGCAAGUUCCCCAGGUCUUCCUGAUCUGCCUACCGAGAAAUCUUUGCAGUCCAAAGAAGACCAUCAUCAUCACAUCCAUCCAUUGACAGAACAUGGCAGCAACAGGAUCCCCGAGGUUGUAGACUGCUGCAAAGUCUCUUGUGCUGAAGUUUUGCCUCCAUCCCGGUGCAUAGAUUGUUUGCCGGACGGAUUGCCGGAACAGCACAAACACAAAGCGAUGGAUUCCAG